rnacentral:rRNA from 1 species
CGUAGGUGGCAAGCGUUGUCCGGAUUUAUUGGGUUUAAAGGGUGCGUAGGUGGCCCUGUAAGUCAGUGGUGAAAUAUCUCAGCUUAACUGAGAGGGUGCCAUUGAUACUGCAGGGCUUGAGUACAGAUGAGGUAGGCGGAAUUGACGGUGUAGCGGUGAAAUGCAUAGAUAUCGUCAAGAACACCGAUAGCGAAGGCAGCUUACCAAGCUGUAACUGACACUGAGGCACGAAAGUGUGGGGAUCAAACAGGAUUAGAUACCCUGGUAGUCCACACUGUAAACGUUGAUGACUCGAUGUUGGCGAUACACAGCCAGCGUCCAAGAGCAAUCGUUAAGUCAUCCAACCUGGGGAGUACGCCGGCAACGGUG